rnacentral:rRNA from 1 species
AGUGAACGCUGGCGGCAGGCCUAACACAUGCAAGUCGAGCGGCGCGGCGGCCGGGUGAGUAAUGCCUAGGAAUCUGCCUGGUAGUGGGGGAUAACGUCCGGAAACGGGCGCUAAUACCGCAUACUCUCAGAUGAGCCUAGGUCGGAUUAGCUAGUUGGUGAGGUAAAGGCCUCCCAAGGCGACGAUCCGUAACUGGUCUGAGAGGAUGAUCAGUCACACUGGAACGUAGACACGGUCCAGACUCCUACGGGAGGCAGCAGGGGGGAAUAUUGGACAAUGGGCGAAAGCCUGAUCCAGCCAUGCCGCGUGUGUGAAGAAGGUCUUCGGAUUGUAAAGUACUUUAAGUUGGGAGGCGUUACCAACAGAAUAAGCACCGGCUAACUUCGUGCCAGCAGCCGCGGUAAUUC